AACUCAAAGGAGACUGCCAGUGAUAAACUGGAGGAAGGUGGGGAUGACGUCAAGUCAUCAUGGCCCUUACGACCAGGGCUACACACGUGCUACAAUGGCGCAUACAAAGAGAAGCGACCUCGCGAGAGCAAGCGGACCUCAUAAAGUGCGUCGUAGUCCGGAUUGGAGUCUGCAACUCGACUCCAUGAAGUCGGAAUCGCUAGUAAUCGUGGAUCAGAAUGCCACGGUGAAUACGUUCCCGGGCCUUGUACACACCGCCCGUCACACCAUGGGAGUGGGUUGCAAAAGAAGUAGGUAGCUUAACCUUCGGGAGGGCGCUUACCACUUUGUGAUUCAUGACUGGGGUGAAGUCGUAACAAGGUAACCGUAGGGGAACCUGCGGUUGGAUCACCUCCUUACCUUAAA
rnacentral:rRNA from 1 species